ensembl:lncRNA
GAGAAGCUGGAUCGGAUUGAGACAGACCUUCACCCGUGUUGUGGAUGCGGGAAACCGAAUGUGGGUCUAAAGGGUUUAGUGGAAGGCUUUAAUGUCAGAGUGGGAGAGGGGACCCGCUGGUGUGACGAAACAGAAGCAGUGAUGAAUUAACAAUACCACUUGAAAGAUGUCAUUGUGGGUAAAAUCUAUUUCCUUCUGGUGAGAAUCAAAAUCCAGCACAAGGAACUUCAUUGGAUAAAGAAAGAGAUGACUGGAAUAGGGCCUAGCACAACUACAGAGACGGAAACUGUCGCCAAGUACGACAUAAUGGAUGGCGCCCCUGUGAAAGGAGAGUCCAAUUUUUGGCUAGCUACGACCUGACAGCCACCAUGAGGGACGUCAACAAGAAGUUCUCUGUGCCGUGCUUCCUCAACCUGGUGCUAGUGGAUGAGGUGGACAGGAGAUACUUCAAACAGCAGUCCGACUUCUCAUCAGUCCUGCUACUCUGUCCUGGAUUCCCCACUCUACGCUCCCUUGGAUUCCCCUCUGGACCUGCUUACCCUGUCCUUACACCUCUCGCUCCAGCCUCAGCCUCCGCACCUGGUUUCCGGCAACCCGUCCGAGCUUCUCCUGGCCUGCACCCAAUCUUCCCCCCCGUGUUUCAAUAAAUACCUUGGUUACC